rnacentral:rRNA from 1 species
UACGAGUGCCCUAAGCGUUAUCCGGAAUCAUUGGGCGUAAAGGGUGUGUAGGCGGUUUGUCGCGUCUGCCGUGAAAAUUCGAGGCUCAACCUCGAACUUGCGGUGGGUACGGGCAGACUAGAGUGUGGUAGGGGAGACUGGAAUUCCUGGUGUAGCGGUGAAAUGCGCAGAUAUCAGGAGGAACACCGGUGGCGAAGGCGGUUCUCUGGGCAUUACCUGACGCUGAGGAGCGAAAGUGUGGGGAGCGAACAGG